CAGCCGCCGCGGUAAUACGGAGGGGGCUAGCGUUGUUCGGAAUUACUGGGCGUAAAGCGUACGUAGGCGGCUUUGUAAGUUAGAGGUGAAAGCCUGGAGCUCAACUCCAGAAUUGCCUUUAAGACUGCAUCGCUUGAACGUCGGAGAGGUGAGUGGAAUUCCGAGUGUAGAGGUGAAAUUCGUAGAUAUUCGGAAGAACACCAGUGGCGAAGGCGGCUCACUGGACGACUGUUGACGCUGAGGUACGAAAGCGUGGGGAGCAAACAGGAUUAGAUACCCCGGUAGUCCCUGUCUCUUAUAC
rnacentral:rRNA from 1 species